ACACGAAUUUGGUUUUGAAAUUGAGAAUUGAGCCUUAACAUUCUUAUUUUCCAUCUGAAACUAACAAAUAGAAACCAAAUGACGAGGUCCAUAUACAACUUUUGUUGGUUGUUAGACCAACCAAAACCAUUGGAUAAAGUCUGUAAAAAAAAAAAGAAAAGCAUCGUCUCAAUGGCAUGUUAGAACCAAGACUAAGCUAAGGCACAGUACAUGAUAUUAAUUAUUUAGACUUAUGUUACCCGUUAUUACUUUUACCUGUCUAAAAUAUUCUGCAUGUCGGCCUCUUGACUCUAAUGCUGUAUGGCAAUGGACGAAAUGGGAGCCUCACAGUUAGCGACAGUUCAAAUCACUAGUAACUAACUAAUCAGGCAAGUUGUGAUGAUAAGGCAAGAGUGUAGAGGCAGCAACAUUGUCUUAAUAUUCAACGGCAUUUGAACCACUGUGCCAAGGAUCCCACACAUUGCUACAUCAUAUUAUCAUCAGCAGUCUACACCAAGAAUUGAAACGCUAUGAGAAUCUAGAAAACAAAGCAACAGUAUUUACAUAUGAGAACAUGGGGUCAAGGUCCCACAAAGAACUCACUGGAGAUGAAGCAAAGAUGAUUUCUUACCACAAGAAUCAUUCCAGAGUCAGGGUACCUAUUAAUCAGAACUAUCGCAAAUAUGUUUCUGAUUCAAGGCCCAUCUUAUAAGCCACUCUGAUGAUGCCAAUGAGAUAUCUUAGCUUCAAAAACAACGCGAGGAUGACAUGAAUUGUUGUCUCCCCUUUCAGGGAUCUUACCUGAUUUGGAUUUGGCUCCAUUAUUGGAUAAGGCAUCUUUGUGCUCACUUGUCAAGAAGCUCAUAAUCACUCUGCACUAACCAUUGUCAUGUUAUAUGCUGACAAUGCUUUUCUUCUGUAUUUGCUAUACAUAGUUUGUAGCAUACAUACUAGAGGCAGAUCAAUUGUUAAGUUAUCUAAGAAUUGAAUUAGGAGAUUAUUUGACAUUCAUCACAGCUGGAAGGAAACAUUCUUCUGAAAGCAUUGCUGGAACUGCAGCAGUUAUCAGACAUGGACUUCU
rnacentral:lncRNA from 1 species